GACAGAGGGUGCAAACGUUGUUCGGAAUUACUGGGCGUAAAGCGCGUGUAGGCUGCCUCGAAAGUCAGGUGUGAAAGGCCCUGGGCUCAACCCAGGAAGUGCACUUGAAACUUCGAGGCUCGAGUCCCGGAGAGGGUGGCGGAAUUCUCGGAUGUAGAGGUGAAAUUCGAUAGAUAGUCGAGAGGAACACCGGUGGCGAAGGCGGCUACCUGGACGGUGACUGACGCUGGAGACGCGAAAGCCGUGGGGAGCAAACAGG
rnacentral:rRNA from 1 species